AUUGAACGCUGGCGGCAGGCCUAACACAUGCAAGUCGGACGGUAGCACAGAGAGCUUGCUCUCGGGUGACGAGUGGCGGACGGGUGAGUAAUGUCUGGGGAUCUGCCCGAUAGAGGGGGAUAACCACUGGAAACGGUGGCUAAUACCGCAUAACGUCGCAAGACCAAAGAGGGGGACCUUCGGGCCUCUCACUAUCGGAUGAACCCAGAUGGGAUUAGCUAGUAGGCGGGGUAAUGGCCCACCUAGGCGACGAUCCCUAGCUGGUCUGAGAGGAUGACCAGCCACACUGGAACUGAGACACGGUCCAGACUCCUACGGGAGGCAGCAGUGGGGAAUAUUGGACAAUGGGCGAAAGCCUGAUCCAGCAAUGCCGCGUGAGUGAUGAAGGCCUUAGGGUUGUAAAG
rnacentral:rRNA from 1 species